GACGUGACUUCAGAGUUUGAUCCUGGCUCAGGAUGAACGCUAGCGACAGGCUUAACACAUGCAAGUCGAGGGGCAGCAUGAAGUAGCAAUACUUUGAUGGCGACCGGCGGCACGGGUGAGUAACGCGUAUGUAACCUACCUGACACAGAGGGAUAGCCCAUGGAAACGUGGAUUAAAACCUCAUAGUAUUAUUAAAUCGCAUGAUAUAAUAAUUAAAUCAUCGAGGUGUCAGCUGGGCAUGCGUCCUAUUAGCUAGUUGGCGGGGUAACGGCCCACCAAGGCAAUGAUAGGUAGGGGUUCUGAGAGGAGGGUCCCCCACAUUGGAACUGAGACACGGUCCAA
rnacentral:rRNA from 1 species